rnacentral:rRNA from 1 species
AUGAACGCUGGCGGCGUGCCUAAUACAUGCAAGUCGAGCGAACAGACGAGGAGCUUGCUCCUCUGAUGUUAGCGGCGGACGGGUGAGUAACACGUGGAUAACCUACCUAUAAGACUGGGAUACUUCGGGAAACCGGAGCUAAUACCGGAUAACAUGUUGAACCGCAUGGUUCAACAGUGAAAGACGGUCUUGCUGUCACUUAUAGAUGGAUCCGCGCCGCAUUAGCUAGUUGGUAAGGUAACGGCUUACCAAGGCAACGAUGCGUAGCCGACCUGAGAGGGUGAUCGGCCACACUGGAACUGAGACACGGUCCAGACUCCUACGGGAGGCAGCAGUAGGGAAUCUUCCGCAAUGGGCGAAAGCCUGACGGAGCAACGCCGCGUGAGUGAAGAAGGUCUUCGGAUCGUAAAACUCUGUUAUUAGGGAAGAACAAAUGUGUAAGUAACUAUGCACGUCUUGACGGUACCUAAUCAGAAAGCCACGGCUAACUACGUG